AAUAUUGGACAAUGGGGGGAACCCUGAUCCAGCCAUGCCGCGUGUGUGAAGAAGGCCNNNUGGUUNUCAAGCACUUUAAGCGGNGAGNAGGCUACUCUAGGUAAUACUUAGAGAUAGUGGCCGUUACUAUCAGAAUAAGCACCGGCUAACUCUGUGCCAGCAGCCGCGGUAAUAAAGAGGGUGCAAGCGUUAAUCGGAUUUACUGGGCGGGAAGAGCGGGUAGUUGGCCAAUUAAGUCAACUGUGAAAACCCCGAGCUUAACUUGGGAAUUGCAGUCGAUACUGGUUGGCUAGAGUAUUGGAGAGGAUGGUAGAAUUCCAGGUGUAGCGGUGAAAUGCGUAGAGAUCAGGAGGAAUACCGAUGGCGAAGGCAGCCAUCUGGCCUAAUACUGACACUGAGGUGCGAAAGCAUGGGGAGCAAACA
rnacentral:rRNA from 1 species